GGACGAACGCUGGCGGCGUGCCUAACACAUGCAAGUCGAGCGAUGAAGCCCUUCGGGGUGAAUUAGCGGCGGACGGGUGAGUAACACGUGGGUAACCUGCCUUAUAGAGGGGGAUAGCCUUCCGAAAGGAAGAUUAAUACCGCAUAAUAUGUUUUUAUCGCAUGGUAGAAACAUCAAAGGAGCAAUCCGCUAUAAGAUGGACCCGCGGCGCAUUAGCUAGUUGGUGAGGUAACGGCCCACCAAGGCGACGAUGCGUAGCCGACCUGAGAGGGUGAUCGGCCACAUUGGAACUGAGACACGGUCCAGACUCCUACGGGAGGCAGCAGUGGGGAAUAUUGCGCAAUGGGGGAAACCCUGAACCGCAGCAACGCCGCGUGAAUGAAGAAGGCCUUAGGGUUGUAAAGUUCUGUUUUCUGGGACGAUAAUGACGGUACCAGAGGAGGAAGCCACGGCUAACUACGUGCCAGCCGCAGC
rnacentral:rRNA from 1 species